ACAACAAAAACAAUAAAACAGCAGUACCCAAUAAAAACAACACGUAACGGCUCUGGCAUAACAAGAACAAUCGCGGCAGAGGCGAAGCUAACAGAUUUUUUUGGAGAGGACGCGCCACCGGGGCUUGCCCCACACCGUACACAGAACAACAAAACUGCCCCGAGGCAGCGACGUACCGGUGACAGGCGAAUCAGCGCUCAAAAAAAUACGUUUGCUCUUGACCCAGGAUGUGGGUCACACGAAACGCGGUAAAGGGUCACGGUCGCCAAAAACAACAACAGGCCGCCCCUCAAUAAUAAAAAAAGAGCAAGCAACAAGACCUUGAGGGGAGCUUCGGCUCCCCUCAGUGCUUUCUGGCGUUUGGGCCUUGCGCCUUUA
rfam:Pseudomonas sp. M47T1 contig09, whole genome shotgun sequence.